GUCUCGAUUGCUGGAAUGCAUCGAGAUUUAAAGCUCCGGCGCCUAAGGAUGGGUCUGCGGCCUAUCAGGUAGUAGUGGGUGUAGCGUACCUACUAGCCUACGACGGGUACGGGUUGUGAGAGCAAGAGCCCGGAGAUGGAUUCUGAGACACGAAUCCAGGCCCUACGGGGUGCAGCAGGCGCGAAAACUUUACAAUGCUGGCAACAGCGAUAAGGGAACCUCGAGUGCCAGGUUACAAAUCUGGCUGUCGAGAUGCCUAAAAAGCAUUUCAUAGCAAGGGCCGGGCAAGACCGGUGCCAGCCGCCGCGGUAACACCGGCGGCUCGAGUGGUAACCGUUAUUAUUGGGUCUAAAGGGUCUGUAGCCGGCCGGAUAAGUCUCUUGAGAAAUCUGGCAGCUUAACUGUCAGGCUUUCAGGAGAUACUGUCUGGCUCGAGGCCGGGAGAGGUGAGAGGUACUUCAGGGGUAGGGGUGAAAUCUUGUAAUCCUUGAAGGACCACCAGUGGCGAAGGCGUCUCACCAGAACGGACCUGACGGCAAGGGACGAAAGCUAGGGGCACGAACCGGAUUAGAUACCCGGGUAGUCCUAGCCGUAAACGAUACUCGCUAGGUGUCGGCCACGGUGCGACCGUUGUCGGUGCCGUAGGGAAGCCGUGAAGCGAGCCACCUGGGAAGUACGGCCGCAAGGCUGAAACUUAAAGGAAUUGGCGGGGGAGCACCACAACGGGUGGAGCUUGCGGUU
rnacentral:rRNA from 1 species